UACGUAGGGUGCGAGCGUUGUCCGGAAUUAUUGGGCGUAAAGGGCUCGUAGGCGGUUUGUCGCGUCGGGAGUGAAAUCCACUGGCUUAACUGGUGGCUUGCUUUCGAUACGGGCGGACUAGAGGUAGGCAGGGGAGAACGGAAUUCCUGGUGUAGCGGUGGAAUGCGUAGAUAUCGGGAGGAACACCAGUGGCGAAGGCGGUUGCCUGGAGCUUUGCUGACGCUGAUGCGCGAAAGCGUGGGGAGCGAUCCGG
rnacentral:rRNA from 1 species